rnacentral:rRNA from 1 species
UACCCUUGACAUGCCACUAACGAAGCAGAGAUGCAUUAGGUGCUCGAAAGAGAAAGUGGACACAGGUGCUGCAUGGCUGUCGUCAGCUCGUGUCGUGAGAUGUUGGGUUAAGUCCCGCAACGAGCGCAACCCUUGUCUCUAGUUGCUACGAAAGGGCACUCUAGAGAGACUGCCGGUGACAAACCGGAGGAAGGUGGGGAUGACGUCAAGUCCUCAUGGCCCUUAUGGG